GGAAUCUUGCGCAAUGGCCGAAAGGCCGACGCAGCGACGCCGCGUGCGGGAGGACGCUCUUCGGGGUGUAAACCGCUGUCGGGUGGGACGAAGGUCCCGGGUAGGAAAUGACCUGGGGAUGACGGUACCACCAGAGGCAGCACCGGCUCACUCCGUGCCAGCAGCCGCGGUAAUACGGAGGGGGCGAGCGUUGUUCGGAAUUCUUGGGCGUAAAGCGCACGUAGGCGGCUCGGUAAGUCUCACUGUGAAAGCCCGGGGCUCAACCCCGGGAGGCCAGGGGAUACUGUCGAGCUGGAGACAGGCAGAGGCUGGUAGAAUUUCGGGUGUAGCGGUGGAAUGCGUAGAGAUCCGAAGGAAUACCGGAGGCGAAGGCGGCCAGCUGGGCCUGAUCUGACGCUGAGGUGCGAAAGCGUGGGGAGCAAAC
rnacentral:rRNA from 1 species